rnacentral:miRNA from 1 species
AGGAGGAAAAAUCUGAUUUGUCAU